UCGCUACUACCGAUUGAAUGAUUUAGUGAGUUCCAUGGACUGGUGCGCUCCGUUGGGUUUCCUUCGUUGCGUGUCGGGAAGUGGCACAAACUUGACCAUUUAGAGGAAGUAA
rnacentral:rRNA from 1 species